UGUGGACUGUAUACUCAAUACAAUCUAAAUCUGAUACCUCACUGUCUAAAUAGAUAUGGUGUGGACUGUAUACUCAAUACAAUCUACAUCUGAUACAUCACUGUCUGUCUUCUGACUGAUACUACAGUCUACUCAAAUAUUUGCACUAAACAUGUAUCUCUCUACAAGUAAUAUUAUGAGAAUUUAUAAUCAUUCUACAUUCAUUAAUUUACGAAUAGAUAUGGCAGGUUUCAGGACACUGAUAUAUCUGAAUAUGUUGAAAAAAAUAUACUGCCACUAUUUUCACCUCCAGAGAAUAGCAGUGUGAUUUUAAUAUAAUUUGACUCUUUGCAGGCUGUCAGGCUGUCUAGUCACAGAGGAAGGCUGUGCUUCUCUGGCCUCAGCUCUGAGGUCAAACCCCUCACACCUGAGAGAGCUGGACCUGAGCUACAAUCACCCAGGAGACUCAGGAGUCAGACUGCUCUCUGCUGGACUGGAGGAUCCACACUGCAGACUGGAGAAACUCAUUGUGGAACAUGGUGGAGAGAACACAAUGAAACCUGGGCUUAGAAAAUGUGAGUGUUGACUGCUGUGAAGAAUAUGACUAAGAAUAAGUCUUAAUUCAAGUUAAGUCAAAGUCAAAGACCACCAUCAUUACUUACUUGGUCAUAUUAAUAUCAGCUGUAGUUCUACAGAAGCACAAAUCAAGGACACCAAAGUUAACAAAGAGUUGUGACUAUGUGUGUCUGUGUGUGUGUGUGUGUGUGUGUGUGUGUGUGUGUGUGUGUGUGUGUGUGUGUGUGUGUGUAAUUAAUGGGAAUAAGUGUGUUUUAUAUUACCAUACAGUAUAAUAUAUGAUCAUUCAACAAGUCUCAAGGUACCUUUACUUCUCCUUUUGAUACCUAGAAACAUCUACAUUAAAUUAAUUAGUGAAAAGUGAGUUAACAUUCUAAUGUGAAUGAUGAUGAUUUCUAAUAUUGUGUCUGAUUUCAUCCAUCAGAUGUCUGUGAUCUCACACUGGACCUAAACACAGUAAACAGACUCCUCUCUCUGUCUGAGGAGAACAGAAAGGUGACAUGUAGGAGAGAGGAGCAGCCGUAUCCUGAUCACCCAGACAGAUUUAAGGACUGGCAGCAGGUUCUGUGUAGAGAGGGUCUGACUGGGCGCUGUUACUGGGAGGUAGAGUGGAGUGGGAGAGGGGCUGAUAUAGGAGUGACAUAUAAAGGAAUCAACAGGAGAGGAAGGAGUUAUGACUGUGGGCUUGGAUCCAAUGACAAUACCUGGAGUCUGUUCUGCUCUGACAACAGUUACACUGCCAGGCACAAUAAUAAUCCCACUACCAUUGACGUCCCCUCCUCCAGCUCCCACAGAGUAGGAGUGUAUCUGGACUGGCCAGCCGGCACUCUGUCCUUCUAUAGAGCCUCCUCUGUCACACUGACUCACCUGAUCACAUUCACCUCCACAUUCACUGAGCCCCUCUAUCCAGGGUUUUAUGUUUGGUUUGAUGAGUCCUCAGUGUCCCUUUGUCAAACACAACAUGAUGAUUUACUCUAAUCAGGGUCAUGUUCAGUAAGACACACUGAAGCAACAAUGUAGAAUAUCUUUCUAGUGUGUAAACAUAUGAUUGUAAAUAUUCAUGAAUAAACACCAUUGAAGUUGACAGACAUUGUCAACUAGAGUCAAACAGUUUUCAUUUAGAAAUCAUUGAUCUUGUUGUUAUUGGGCUUCUUGGUGUUUGUAAAUAUUGUAUAAUGUUUAUUUGUCAAAUUCUUGGCACAACAAUCUUGUUUGUGUAUAAACUCAAUUCAACUGAAUGAAAUGUACAUGUGACAGAUGUGACUAAUAAAGUUAAUCAACAAGAUGGAA